GACAGAGGAUGCAAGCGUUAUCCGGAAUGAUUGGGCGUAAAGCGUCUGUAGGUGGCUUUUUAAGUCCGCCGUCAAAUCCCAGGGCUCAACCCUGGACAGGCGGUGGAAACUACCAAGCUGGAGUACGGUAGGGGCAGAGGGAAUUUCCGGUGGAGCGGUGAAAUGCGUAGAGAUUGGAAAGAACACCGAUGGCGAAGGCACUUUACUGGGCUAUUACUAACACUGAGAGACGAAAGCUAGGGUAGCAAAUGGG
rnacentral:rRNA from 1 species